rnacentral:lncRNA from 1 species
AAAAUCAAUAUACUACCAUUUUAUUAAGAUCAAGGAUUAAUUUGACGCUUUAAAUGUGGUUUCGUGAAUCAGUGGGACCGUAUAAUUUGGGCAUUUGAAAUGAAAUGGUACUCUUUUGUUGUUGCUCUUAACAAGCUUCAAAUUAUCAGUCUAACUAAUUGAGAUGACGACGAGGAGAGAAGCAAAACGCAGUGUUAUUGAAAUUUCCUCUUCUUCCGAAGAAGAAGAAGGAGGAGAAGAAGGAGAUGAAGAAGAAGGAAGCUCAGAAGAAUCAGAACCAUUAUCAGAAUCGGAUGACGAUGAUUUUGACUCCUCCGCCUCAAGGUAUUCUUUUCCAAUUAAUAUAUCAAGUGAUUAAUCUAUCAAUCAAUUUACGCCUCAAUUCAAAACUAAUUAGGCUGGGCCAUAUGAAUUGUUAGUAUGUUCAUUCAAAUAUUACAUCGUUUAUUGUAAAUUUUAUGAUGAUCAAUUUUUGGGUAAUUUGGGCCAGCGAGAGCGAUGGCGAUUACGAAGAAUAUGACGAUGAGGAUGAUAUCGAAGAGGAAACUAAGGAGUCGGGGUGUGACAGAGUCCUUCGCCUUCUCCAAGGUAUAUAAGGAUUUUCAUUUUUCUGCUGUUACGCUUCUGGCAAAUGUAUGGAUAAACUAAAGAAAAACUAAGUUGCACUGUUACUGUAGUAAAAUGUUAGGGUUAAUUAAUUUUAAUCAAUUUUGUAGCAAAUUGAUCAUUCUUCAACCAAUCCCAGUGUUCUACUUUUUAGUUGAAAUUAAUGAUUUAAACUCAGUUGCUUUCUGCACAAAUCAGUUUGAUCUUUAAAUGUGCAUGGUCCCACAUUGAACUUUGUAACUAGUACCUGUGAUGUUGUGGUGGCUAGUCUUAAAUGUUGAAUUGCCUAUUUGAUUUGCCGGAAACCUACAUGGUCUAUCAAUCAAAGACCAAUCUGAGCAAUCAAUUUUGUUGGAUAAACCCAUGGAAGUGCAUGUUAGAGGAUGGCAUUGGUGACACGCCAUGGACUAGACUUUGCAGUUGCGUGAGUUAUUAAUAAUCAGCAAGUACAGGAGCAAAAGAAGGGGCUGAGACUUUGAAAGCUACUAAAAAGAGUUUGCUGGGGUUGGGCGCGACGACUAUCUCGGCUAAACACUCAUUUAAAAAGUGGACCUCUUUUGUCCAUGAGUUUUGCGCAAAUGUGUUAUCGUGUUAUCUUCUUGUUAGGCAACCUGCAUUACUGGAGCCGGGUGGGCAGGAAGAAGAUUUUUAUAUGGAAGUACUAUUGAUAUAUGUUUUGCAUGAGCUUUCGUGGACACGGAAGGAAAGGGUGCAAAAGUACUAUGGACCCUAUGCCUGCCAUUGAGGAGGAUAGAAUUAGUAAAAGAUGCAAAACAAUUUACUCGUUAUUCAAUGGACAAUUUGGUGUAUUCACAAUAUUUUGUGAACCGUAGAUCCUAACAUAUAUAUACUACAAUGCACUUAUUGAUUCUUCAAAGGGGUUCAUAACUUGUUCCCUUUUCGCGGUGGAGGCAAAUGUAGAAAAUUUCUCCAACUAGUAACAAUUUUUUCCAUGUUCUGACUCAAGACAAUUAAUUAGCUAGUUAUGGUCUCUCUAACAUAUAAAUAUAUCAAGUUACAACCUUUUGUGCGUUAUAUAGAGGGUAGAGAAUUGAAGAAGCUAAAGGGAGAAUUGAGGAAGCUAACAUUGACAGACUAUAAAGCAUAUUUGCGGUCAAAUGGGUUGAGGUUAUCUGGUACAAAGGAAGAAUGUGUAGAGAAGAUCAUAGAGCACUGGAGGUAUGUCGGAGUGUAAGAUGUAAACCUCAUGUAUUUGAAUGCACCCCUAUAAUUUUUGCAGUUUCCAAUAAAGUGUGCUCUUGUGGCAUUCCAUCAAGCAUUUCUAUUUUUUUUGUUUUCAUUGUUUUUUUGUUUUUGUUUUGUUUCCUGUUAUGUUGUUUCUUUUGUGGUGUAAGAAAGGGUCCUGUAAAUACCUAGAGUCUCAAGCAUUCAGGUUGCUUAUUGUGAGCAGCUAAAAAGGGUAUAUGACUCUUAAGUAAAAGGGACAAAUGUUAGCAUAUUACUAUGUGCAUACACCAUAUAGUUAAGCAGAUUAAAAACCCUGGUUUGACUCAUUGUCAGUGAUGUUGAAACACGUUCUCACAAGGCACUGAACUAAACGUGUGUUUAUAUUUGUAGGUUUUGAUAAAUGACAAACGAUGCGCAAUUGACAUAU